rnacentral:rRNA from 1 species
GAGUAACACGUGGGCAACCUACCUUAUAGUUUGGGAUAACUCCGGGAAACCGGGGCUAAUACCGAAUAAUCUGUUUCACCUCAUGGUGAAAUAUUGAAAGACGGUUUCGGCUGUCGCUAUAGGAUGGGCCCGCGGCGCAUUAGCUAGUUGGUGAGGUAACGGCUCACCAAGGCGACGAUGCGUAGCCGACCUGAGAGGGUGAUCGGCCACACUGGGACUGAGACACGGCCCAGACUCCUACGGGAGGCAGCAGUAGGGAAUCUUCCACAAUGGGCGAAAGCCUGAUGGAGCAACGCCGCGUGAGUGAAGAAGGAUUUCGGUUCGUAAAACUCUGUUGUAAGGGAAGAACAAGUACAGUAGUAACUGGCUGUACCUUGACGGUACCUUAUUAGAAAGCCACGGCUAACUACGUGCCAGCAGCCGCGGUAAUACGUAGGUGGCAAGCGUUGUCCGGAAUUAUUGGGCGUAAAGCGCGCGCAGGUGGUUUCUUAAGUCUGAUGUGAAAGCCCACGGCUCAACCGUGGAGGGUCAUUGGAAACUGGGAGACUUGAGUGCAGAAGAGGAUAGUGGAAUUCCAAGUGUAGCGGUGAAAUGCGUAGAGA